GAUCCCAUUUUGCAGAAGUCAGCCCGUUCUCCCCUCUCUGAGAGUGUUACUGUGCUUAAUAAGUCUCUUGCUGCUUUGCUACAUGUGUGUGUGUCACUUCCAAUUCUUUGUUAAAGACACCAAGAACCUGGGACUUCACAACACCAGCCGGUAACAAAGAUCUCUGUAAGACACAAAAGUUGGAUGACAGUCGUUUUGAUUCUUGGACUUUACUAGAGACUCCAAAGACGCAUCUGAGGAGAAAAGCUCUGGGUCCCUGGGAUGACUGUGCCACUCGACAUAGCCUCCUGGAGUGGCCAAAGAGAGUGUGGAUAAGAAAAGAAAUAUUGGAGUGAACUUUCACUCACUCCCACUUCUGUAGGUUUCUUAAAAUAUAUGGGUUUAGAAGCAAGAUACUUGGCGUUUUCAAAUGACUCAAAAGAGAUGUAGAUGAAGAGAAGUUCGGUCAUCCCACAGAUCUUCCGGAGUAACCUGGACACAUCCCUAAAUCUCUAGCUCCUGGGUCUUCGAAAGCCUGUUUGCCUCAGGGUUGGGAGGAAAGGGUUUGGAAAGUACCAAGGCAAGCGUUGGCAAAAAGAUUACCUCAUCAGUGAGGAAAUGAAAUUUCCAGAAGUUUUCGCCAGAUCUGGGACCAGAGACAAAUGCUGGAUGAAUUUCCUAUGCAAACCUCUUUUAGAACCACCGCUUCAAAGGCCGUCCAGAGACUUCAAAUUAGAUCUGGUGAAACUGCUCCCGGUAGGGGAUUGGUAGUUCAGCGGUAGAGGUUUUUGUCUCCCACGCCGGCGACUCCGGUACGACUCCCGGCCAUGCAGGACUUCUUACUCUUCCGGCAGGAAGGGCUACUACGUUUCUACCCAACAAAGUUAUUAUAUUAUACAGGCUGUACUGCAUUUAUGGACCUUGGUCGUGGCAGCUAGAAGCUAACCUGAGGGGCGUGCCACCUCUGGAGCAUUCUCUGUGCUCGAACUAAUAAUCCCGGAAUUUACGUUCCUGUGCUCGAAGCCUGUCCUUGAAAGUGGGGAGUGUUUCCGGUGGGUUGCUGCAGUUUUAAAUACUGGGAAUUAAAACCUUUGCUACUUUCAUCUAGUCUCCCGGCAAACCCCUGGGUAACCCAAAGCCCAUCAGAGGGAUUCGCGUGCUGGGCUUUCCGCUACGUUAGGCCACGUCUCACUAUGGAGCGAGGAUCAAGAAGGUCCGGGAAGGAGAGAAGCUGCGGGGUCCAGGGAGACUCUUCGGCGGUUGGUCGGAGAGGUUUCAGCGGCCCAAGGAAAAGGGAAGCGUGUGGGAAUCUAUCCGCGUAGAGAUGAGGGGCGCGGCGGAGACAGUCCCACGCAGAGGUAUGCCCAAACACCGAGUUACUUAACCUCCUCAACCACCUUGGCAUCCGCGCCUUCCGUGGGCCCAUCGGUCUUCCGGGAGAGAUUCUGUGUCCCUGGUAUUGUGUGUCAACAGGUGUUAGCCUGAUAGUUAUAUUUUUAAUGAGAGAAAACGAACUACAGAAUUUGCGAGUUUUGUUUUUUUUCUGGUUUUGCUUUAUACCUCUUGGAUUCUCCUUCCAAAGGAGACAAAAACCUCUACCUCAUUUAAUAUGCUAAUUAGCCUGCAUUUUACAACAGAUUGUAUUAGAGCCUGGAUACACAUCCAACUCGAUUCCAUGUAUGGAGCCGUAGUUGAUUUGGUCAAUAACUUGCAUUGUUCUGCAUGAGAACUUCCACAAUUUGCUUCCUCAUUCUAAUAGGGUUUGCUUGAAUUAUAUGAAAUCACCACCUUUAUUGGUCAAAACCAGCUGAAUAUUGGCAAUUUCAUGUGGUUCAACCUAAUAGUCUGCAGGGGUCUGGGGAGAUCAUAGCAUGUGAAUAUAAUGUUGAAUGAGACAUAGGAAGAAAGAAACAAGAUAGCUGGGACAAAGGGUAUUGAAUGAGUAGAAAAAAAAGUAGUAAUCUUUUUGUUUGGGUUAGGUGUGUGUUCCCAAGGGAAAUAAUUUUUGAGCAUGUAGCUUGAAAGUAAUAAUACCACUUUUAGGUAGUACAAAUGGCUCAGGGGAUCAAUUGGGAUUUAGGGAGCGGGGCUUUUACCUGCAAUCUGUCCAAUUUAGUCAGACUAACUUGCAAUUUUUACACUGUUAAACAUCUUAUAAAUCUGAGACCAACAGAUCAAAGAAAAGCUCUUUCAAUUGAGUGUCUGGGUAACUUGUGGCAAAUUUUUUAUCCCCGUUGUAAUGUGAUUCCUCCAUCUCUAAAGUGAAGGCAUGGAUUACCCACUCAUUCUCAAUCCAAUGUGAAAGGUCCAGAAUUCUGUGUCAGAGUUAAGAGAGUCCUGGUGCAGUCAGCAAGGGAAAGUAAUUUUUCCAAACUGCCUGUGCUAAAAAUAAACCCAGGGUAGUCUCAGGGGAGAGCUACCCAGUCCCUUUCACGGACAGUAAAUUCACUGUGGUGGGAGGUGAAGAUGGACUGAAAACAAAUACCUGAAGAAAGAAAAACAUCCUAAUGCAGGCACCAGUGGUGAGUUGAUGGGAACUGAGCUACCACUGGGAAUGCAUCACCUGAGCAUUUUCUCCAGAGCAGAGUUGUUGGACAAAUCUAUGAGGAGAAAUUCCCACAGCAGGGCACAAUUUGGGCUCUGGCUAAGUUCUUGGAAUGUCAUUUGUCAGCUGUCAGAAUCCUAUAUUCAUAAAGGGAGAGGAAAAGUCUCACUAAAAUGCAACUAAAGAACACACAGCAGCAGAACCUGGUCUCUUCUGUGUUAACAGAACAAACAUGAAAAUAGUUAAGCCAACAUACUUGGAAUUUGUGUCAAUCAUGAUACUUUCAUUGCUCGUCUUGAGUUCUCAUGUCUAUCAUGCCACGGUGAGGCAAUCACUCAGAACAACCCAUGGCAUUUUGCAGAGCACCAAAGAAGAAGAAGUGGUGAAUCAUGGGCCUGAGACUUGGUUACACAGUGUCUUAGAGAAAUAUCCCAGCUCCUUCUCAAGCUACAAAAUUCCUCCUGCUAGGCCAAGAAUAGAUAUGGAAUUUCCUAUCAUCUCUGAAUUUUUAUUUUACUGAGUUGCAAGCAGAGCUCUUUCUCCUAUUGUAUUUAUAUUAUCAUAAAAUUGAUCUUGAGUAUGUAGAACUUAAGAAAGUCUCCAAAGACAGAUCUGGAUGGGCCUCUGUCUUCCAGCUUAUAAGAUGGAUUUUGUAAAAUUUAGCAUAGCUGCUUUUAUUAUUAUAAUACCUAAAAUGUAUGUGAUUAAAUACAUGAACUGCCUCCCUGAAGGUAAGACAGCUUCUAAAUUCUAAAGCUAAAUAAUCUAGCCCACAGGGCCAGACAUAAAAUUGCACCCAGAAAUUCAUACCAAAUGUCAAGUCACUUUGGGGUUACUCCUGAGGGCUCAAUGCUGAUCAUGGUUAGGAAGAGGUAAUUUGCCCCACUGUCUUGCUUGAGGAUGAUUUUUUACUGCCACACAUGGAAAAAGUUGCAGCUAAUUAUAUGAUUGUUCCAAAUUAUGAGUUCUCCUCCCUAAAAGAAGCUUAUAAUUUCCCAUCCCAUUGACAUCAAGCUUGGUCAUGUGACUUGCUUUGGCCAUUGAAAUGUGAGCAAAAGUGACAAUUACCACUUCCCAGUGGAAACUGAGAGCCAUCUUGUGGCUCCACAAUUGCUCUUCUCCCGCUGCCCAAAGAAUGGCAUGACCUAAAUAGGGACUCAAUUUCAGAAUGAAGAUAUGUAGAGCUGCAACUGACCUACAGCCAACCUGUAACAAGAGAGAGAAAUAAAUCCAGAUGGUUGUAAGCCACUGAGAAAUGGUGAUUGUUUGUUACCAGAGUAUAACAUAGAAAAAGCUAUCCAAUACAACAGUAAAACAAACCCAUCAGGUACAGGAAGUGGAUCUGCUCCCUGAAACCCAUAAACGACCACUCUAGCUGUAUCUUAGCACAAAUAAGGAAGAGGACCAGAAAAGAAAGGAAGAAAGGAGUUAGGGAAAGAAAUCUCAAUAUUUCCCAAGGAAAUAUUGGUGGUGUUCUAGAAGAAGUGGCUAUGUUACAACAGUUGCAUCUUAGGACAUUUAUUCACUUCCAGGCUUUCAUCUCCUCUCAGUGCUGCAAGGAAUAUCCUGCUCUAAGAACACCAGUUUGAAAAGGACUGGCCAUAGAUGACUUUGGAAGACCAAAGAGUUCUGUAUUGACCUCAGUUACGUCCUUAAUACUCUCCAGCAAACAUACAAUAUUUCCGUAGUCCAUUAACUCUCCUACUCCCCUGAAAACUGUUUCAUGCCUACUCCUCCCUUCUCAAACCUCUAAAUGCCUCUGUCAUCCUCACUCCAAGCUGAUUAUUUUGCUUCCUAGUUCACUGAGAAAAUAACAGCAAUCAAAAGAAACUGCACUCAGCCUCCAGCACCACCUCCUUUUCUCCUGCAUGUGUGCCCAUCUGCUCAACUUUUCCUCCUAGCCAUGCUUCUAGUCAAAAUCAACCCCUUAGCUUGCUGCUAGAUCUUAUUUUACUCAUCUAUUGAAGGACGCUGUUCCAGUGAUUUUCUUUUAUUUCUUCUACUUUGCCUGUUUUUUCUCUAUUUGAUCACUCUCACCAACAUUCAAACAUCUUGUUUUCUCAUAUUUUUUAAAAGACUCUCUUUACUCCAAUUCCUACUAGCGAUUCCCCUUUCUCACACUUCCUUAAUAGCAACACUCUUUGAAAGAGUGUCCAUAUCCCCUGUCUCCAAUUUAUUUCCUUUUGUUCUCUCUAGACCUCACUCUAAUCAGACUUUCACCUGCACCUCUCUACAGACACUGCUCUGAUCAAGGUACCAAAACUCCUACUUUGCUAAGCCAGUGGUCAUUUCUCAGUCCUCAUUUUAUGCAAACAAUCAGUAGCAUUGGACACAAUCACUCUCUCCUCUUUGAAACACUUUUUUUCCUCCACUGAGCUUCCAGACUCUCUGCUUGUUCAGUGUUAUUACUACUUGUCUAGUCACUUCUUUUUGUUUCCCGCGAUGCUUCUUCUCAUCUCUGCAGUUUUACUCCCCAGGCUCAGUCCUUGAACCUUUUUUUUUUUUUAAUCUAUGUUUACUCCAUUGGGAAGCUCAUCCAAUCUCAGAGCUGUAAUAAAUUGGUACUUCCAGCCUGGCUCUCUCCCCUGAAACUCACACUCAUGUCUUUAUAAGACAUGAUACAUGCAUGGAAUGGAUACCUAACAGGCAUCUAAUAGUUGACAUGUCUAAACUAAACUCCUAAUAGCCUACAGCAGCAUCACAAAAACUGCAUCUCCCACAGUCUUCCCCAUCUCAGCAAGUAGCAACUCUUAGUUCAAGUCAAAACUCCUUGCAGUUUCCUUGAGUCCUCUUUUUUCAUACCCCCAUUCUAAACAUACAAAAAAUCCUAUUGGUUUUACAUUCACAACACACCAAGAAUCCCAUCACUUCUCAUUGCUUCUACUGCUGCCGUUAUAGUCUGAGCCACCAUCAUCUUUUGCCUGGAUUAGUGCAGUAGCCUCCUAACUGUUCUCCUCUUUCCGUCUUUGACCUUUUCUAGUCUAUUCUCUACACUGUUUUAAUGAAGCAAUAAAGUUAUUUCAUUAAAACAUGCCAAAUGGCACUCUCUCCUCAACAUCUCCCCAGAGUCUUCUCUCAUGCCUCCUGGUACCCUGCUCCUCAUUUAUUCCAUCCACUCCAGCUAUACUGGUUUCCUUGUUACUUUUUGAGAAUAUAAGACAUGCUUCGAUGUCAGCACCUUUACAUUUGCUGUUUCCUCUCCCUGAAAAUGCUUUCAUUCUCUCCAUGAACUGGAAGCAAAGUCAUUAUGGCUCACAUCUUCCUUCAGAUCUUUACUAGUGAAGUCUUCCAAGACUAGCCUACUUGAUGUUGCAAACCCCACCCAGCAUGCUCUACCCACCUUCCUUACUUUAUCUUCCGCUAAGCACUUAUGAUUGUCUAACAUAUCAUAUGUUUGACUUACUUAGAUUAUUUAUUGUCUGUAUCCCCCAACCUGGAAUGUAAGCUCCAUGAGGGAAGGGAGUUUUUAUUAACUGCUGUACCCCUAAAUACCUAGAAUAAGGCCUGGCACAUAGGAGUCUCAACAAAGACUUGUUGAAAGAAUAAAUGAAAUGUUUUUGCAAAUCACCUUCUUAAUGCCUGGAAAUGUUGAUUUUAGUGUUUCAUCCCCUUUACUUGGAAUAAUAAAAGAAUAUUAAGGUUGCAAUGGCUUUAGAGUUAAUCUAGUUUAAUACUGUCAUAUGACACAGAAGAAAACUUUGGCCUAGAGGAGGAAAUAAGCUUUCUGAGGUUGCACACCUAGCUCCUAGCUAAUGGCACAGCAGGGCCAGAUGCCCUGGCUCCCAGCCUGUCUCUCCUCCCACAGUACCAACCACCCCAUCCUCCUUCUGGCUUCCAUGAGUAAAACUAGCUCCUGCUAAUGCCUCUGCUUUUAUUUUGUAUCUCAUCUUUGUUAUAUCAUCUUGAUAUCUUCAUAAAUCUGCUUUUAUCUCAUUUUGCAAGAAUAUUUGUAUAAAAAUAAAAAGGGAUGAUUUCCACAGAAUUUAAACAAAACCCCUACAGACUCUACUAAAGGUUUCAUUAGAUUCUUUAAAGAUGUAUUACGUAUAAAUAUGCAAAAGAUGUGUUAGAAUUUAAACUCCAGGAAAAAAAAAUGUUUCAGAAAACAUGAUUAACAUGUUAAUAAUGGCACCUAACUCUCCAAAAAGUGUGGCAAAGAUUCAGUGAGAAAACAUACAUUGCCUGCCAUACAUGAAAGACAGAGGAAGCGUAUGCUAUAGCACAGGUUGGUGUGUGUGGGGUGUGAGACUUCUGUGAGUACUAGAGUUCCUACGUAUCCCUGUUGAUGUUACACAAUAUUGAGACCCAAUUUUCUAUCUUAAUAAAAACAUAUGUGGUGAAUUUGUAAUGGUCCAAUUUGUCACGGCAAUUUAUUAUUCUACUUCCUAGAGCACUUUAGAGAAUACUUUUUAAAUACUGAUUUAAAAAAAAAUAAAAAGAGGCACAACAUCUCCCUGAACCAGUAGGUGCCAACAGUUAUCAUCAUCUCCGUUUUGCCUAUGAUAUAAAUUAAAGCCUAAAGGUUAUUUACCUCAGUUCAAGAACAGCCAAGCAAUGGGAGAUAUGGAACCAGAAGCUCGAAUGUGUAAUUCCUAAACCUGAAUUAGUUCAUUGAGUCAGUCAGCCUUGUAAGCACUAGUAAGCAAUUCAAGAUGAAAAACUAAACAUUAUUUUUCUUUCAUACUAAAAAUUUUUCACUCUGUUCCCACAGAGAAAUAGGGUCUACAUCCCAUGGCCUUGAAUCUGGGUGGUCUCUGUGACUGUUUGGCCAGUAAAGCCAUAGCAAAAGUGAAGCCAGCCCAGAUUCCAAGUCUACACCUUAUGAAACUGGUAGCUUUCACUUUCUGUCUCUUGGAACACUCUCUCUGGAAACACUUAGUCACUAUGUAAGAAGUUCUACUACCCUAAAGCCACCCUACUAGAGAGGCCAUGUGUAGACACUCCAGACAACAAGCCCAGCUGAGCCCCACUUUCUAGCCAGUGGCAGUCAUGUGAGGAAAGCCAUCCUGACCCUCCUGACAAGCCGACCCACCAGCUGAAAACCACUGAGUGUCCU
rnacentral:lncRNA from 1 species